CCUACGGGAGGCAGCAGUAGGGAAUUUUCGUCAAUGGUCGAGAGUCUGAACCAGCCAAGUAGCGUGAAGGAUGACUGCCCUAUGGGUUGUAAACUUCUUUUAUCUGGGAAUAAAAUGUUCCACGUGUGGGCUUUUGUAUGUACCAUAUGAAUAAGGAUCGGCUAACUCCGUGCCAGCAGCCGCGGUAAUACGGAGGAUCCGCGCGUUAUCCGGAUUUAGUGGGUUUAAAGGGAGCGUAGGGGGAUUGUUAAGUCAGUUGUGAAAGUUUGCGGCUUAACCGUAAAAUUGCAGUUGAAACUGGCAGUCUUGAGUACAGUAGAGGUGGGCGGAAUUCGUGGUGUAGCGGUGAAAUGCUUAGAUAUCACGAAGAACUCCGAUUGCGAAGGCAGCUCACUGGACUGCAACUGACACUGAGGCUCGAAAGUGUGGGUAUCAAACAGGAUUAGAUACCCUUGUAGUC
rnacentral:rRNA from 1 species